GUGUUGGGGCUGGUGUUGGCUUUGUAUCGGCGAGUCAAGUGUACGUGUGGCACAUGAGUGGUGUUUGGCUUGUGUGGCUAGGUUGGAUCCCUGCUCGAGCAGCGAUGUCCUAGCUCGCAUGCCAUCUCAGUCAUGUCACAAGCGCAAAUUAGGCUUGUUCGACGUCGGUUUUCUGUGUUGCAUAACUAAUGCCAAGGCAUUAU
rnacentral:lncRNA from 1 species